rnacentral:rRNA from 1 species
CCUACGGGUGGCAGCAGUGGGGGAUAUUGCACAAUGGGGGAAACCCUGAUGCAGCGACGCCGUGUGUGGGAAGACGGUCCUCUGGUUUUUAAACCACGUUCCCCAGGUACGAAAAUGACGGUCCCUGGGGAGGAAGCUCCGGCUAACUACGUGCCAGCACCCGCGGUAAUACGUAGGGAGCGCGGUUUGUCCGGAAUUACUGGGUGUAAAGGGAGCGUAGGCGGGGAUGCAAGUUGGGUGUAAAAACUACCGGCUCAACUGGUAGUCGCACUCAAAACUGCAGCUCUUGAGUGAAGUAGAGGCAGGCGGAAUUCCUAGUGUAGCGGUGAAAUGCGUAGAUAUUAGGAGGAACACCAGUGGCGAAGGCGGCCUGCUGGGCUUUUACUGACGCUGAGGCUCGAAAGUGUGGGGAGCAAACAGGAUUAGAUACCCGGGUAGUC